rnacentral:rRNA from 1 species
UUUGUUAAGUCAGAUGUGAAAGCCCAGGGCUCCCCUUUGGAACUGCAUUUGAUACUGGCAAACUAGAGUAUGGUAGAGGAAUGGGGAAUUUCUGGUGUAGCGGUGAAAUGCGUAGAGAUCAGAAGGAACACCAAUGGCGAAGGCAACAUUCUGGACCAAUACUGACACUGAGGGACGAAAGCGUGGGGAUCAAACAGGAUUAGAUACCCUGGUAGUCCACGCUGUAAACGAUGAGUACUAGCUGUUGGAUUCGGUGUAAAGGAUCUAGUGGCGUAGCUAACGCGUUAAGUACUCCGCCUGGGGACUACGGCCGCAAGGCUAAAACUCAAAGGAAUUGACGGGGACCCGCACAAGCGGUGGAGCAUGUGGUUUAAUUCGAUGCAACGCGAAGAACCUUACCUGGUCUUGACAUCCUGCGAACUUUCUAGAGAUAGAUUGGUGCCUUCGGGAACGCAGUGACAGGUGCUGCACGGCUGUCGUCAGCUCGUGUUGUGAAAUGUUGGGUUAAGUCCCGCAACGAGCGCAACCCCUAUUGAUAGUUACCAUCAUUAAGUUGGGUACUCUAUUGAGACUGCCGCUGACAAGGCGGAGGAAGGUGGGGACGACGUCAAGUCAUCAUGGCCCUUACGACCAGGGCUACACACGUGCUACAAUGGGUAUUACAGAGGGCAGCGAAGUAGCGAUAUGGAGCGAAACUCAGAAAGGUACUCUUAGUCCGGAUUGCAGUCUGCAACUCGACUGCAUGAAGUCGGAAUCGCUAGUAAUCGCAGGUCAGAAUACUGCGGUGAAUACGUUCCCGGGUCUUGUACACACCGCCCGUCACACCAUGGGAGUGGGUUGCUCCAGAAGUAGAUAG